rnacentral:tRNA from 1 species
GCGACGAUCGUCCAAUGGACAAGACACCGGCUGGCCAUGUCGGAGAUGUGGGUUCGACUCCCGCUCGUCGCUCCC